rnacentral:lncRNA from 1 species
UCUCAGUAUUAAAUAUAUUUCGACUUUCCACUAUAAAAGCUGAUCAUAGUCGAAAGACUAUCAUGCCGACUUAGUCCUAACUAAGCGGACCAUUAUGCUAAUACGAUCAAGGUCGGAUUGAAAUUGUACCGACUUGGCUACAGCCAAUCGAAGGAUAUUUGACUUGCUACCGAUUAUCAAAUGACUUGACGUAUAAAUCCGACUAAACGUCAG